rnacentral:lncRNA from 1 species
AUUUUUAGCUCACCUGGCCCGAAGGGCCAAGUGAGCUAUUCCCAUCACUUUGCGUCCGGCGUCGUCGUCCGUCGUCCGUCGUCGUCCGUCGUCGUUAACUUUUACAAAAAUCUUCUCCUCUGAAACUACUGGGCCAAAUUUAACCAAACUUGACCAAAAUCAUCAUUGGGGUAUCUAGUUUAAAAAAUGUGUGGCGUGACCCGGCCAACCAACCAAGAUGGCCGCCACGGCUAAAAAUAGAACAUAGGGGUAAAAUGCAGUUUUUGGCUAUAACUCAAAAACCAAAGCAUUUAGAGCAAAUCUGACAUGGGGUAAAAAUGUUUAUCAGGUCAAGAUCUAUCUGCCCUGAAAUUUUCA